rnacentral:rRNA from 1 species
UACGAAGGGGGCUAGCGUUGCUCGGAAUCACUGGGCGUAAAGCGCACGUAGGCGGAUUGUUAAGUCAGGGGUGAAAUCCUGGAGCUCAACUCCAGAACUGCCUUUGAUACUGGCGAUCUUGAGUCCGGGAGAGGUGAGUGGAACUGCGAGUGUAGAGGUGAAAUUCGUAGAUAUUCGCAAGAACACCAGUGGCGAAGGCGGCUCACUGGCCCGGUACUGACGCUGAUGCACGAAAGCUAGGGGAGCAAACAGG